rnacentral:rRNA from 1 species
CGGGUCCGGUGACGUACCCCGCAUCCUAAAAAAAGAACCGGAUAUGUUGGGUAAUUGUCAGCGCAUUCCUCGCGGGAGAGCGCUACCGGUGCAUCUGUGACCUGGGGCGCUCCUGGCUGGGUAGAGAGAGCAGGAGUGGGGCGUGGGGCAAGGGAUUUAAGAAGAGGAGAGGGAGCAAACGGCGGCGGUGGGGGUGUCGGCAGUGGCGGCGGCGGUGGUCGCUGAAGGGAGUGUCGGACGCGGGGUGGGGAAGAGAGGAGAGCUGGUGGUCCGCUGGAGGAACGGAGGGGAAGGCGGGUCUAGCUCUUCGUCUAGCCCUAGGUGCCGGUGCCGCCGUACUCGCGGGGCUAAAUCCAAAUUCGGCGCACUGCUCCCACGAGAGACGUCGCGAUUGGGUUCACGGCUGCAGUGCCUGUUCCAAGCACUUCGUAGAAACGGGCACCUUUGGCUCUGGCAGACCAAAAGAAGUAGAGGGAUACACUACCCACGGUAGUCGAAAACACGUACAAAGUACCUCUCCUCUUCGGCGAGGUUAAGGUAGAGGACUUCCUCCUACGGGUGGUAGGUUCCACGAGUUGUAGUGUAGGUAGAUAACGGACGGUUCUCGCUUCUACAGAUAGACUAUCCGUUUCGUCUGUAUAGUUUCGAAGAACAUGCAUAAGCCCUCCUACGGACAACACUGCUACUAGUCUGACCAUCGCGUGCAAAUGCCUGUGGUCACCCGUCUUGUCGUCUUCAGUGUUGUAACCUGCGUUUGCGUUAGCCGUUGCCGCUGGUCUGUACGUCACUGGGCUGCUAACCGCUGCAGACGUCAUGACCCGCUCACUGCUUACUGACUGUCACUGCUAAGUUAACUAGACCACCUAAGUCCCUAUCAACCGAUAGCCGCAGGUACUGUGGGCGCCGUGCAGGGGGCGGUAGCUGGUUUAGCUGUUGAUGCUGCCGAAGUACUAGAACGAGUGUACUACACACCUACGCGGGGAUCUUGAACCACCGUAGCACUGCAGGAGGUAUCAGGUGAGGUGUGGUGUCCGUGGGCAGACGGGCAACCGGACUUUAGGGUGAAGACUAGAAGAGACUUUGGUUUCCUGCCUGACAACUUCUUCGGGUUUCCGUCGUGACGGCCUGGAUCCCCUUCCGCAACGCCGACCCAGCAGAUUGUACCUCACCCCGUUGCAAGAACAUCGACGGUGGAGUAGAAGAUACCUCGGACGUACUAAAAUUAACCUCCCUUCUACCCACAAAAGUAGACACCGCAUCAUAUAUGGACCGCAAGUAGAAGUCCCGUAUCGCACCGACCAAGACCACGGUCGCUCAACUGCGAGUUUGCGGCAGGUCAAUAAUCUAUUGCUCCUCAAUGCCGGCCCCUAGCGCCGUGCAGGAACGGACAGAGCGAGUUCCUGACGUCUCUACCUCUCAGAUACAGUCCGAGGAGGAGGAACAUACCAUCCACCACGCCACCACCAGCGUGUCGAUUCUAUAGGUACCUCCCGUUCUAGAGGCAACCCACUUGCGAACUCGUACAUAACCUCCCUCUACCCUGAGGUGGCAAGUAGGUAAAAUGUCGCCUAACUAUAAAUAAAUACUCAUACUGGGUACAUGUCGAGUCAAUGUCUUCUACUUCUACUUCCCUACGCAUACCUCCUCUUUAAUUUAGUGUCAUAGUGUAAGUGCCGUCCUUUUGUCUUACGUCCUGGCACUAUCGAAUAUACCGUUACUACGACUACGUCCUGGUACUUUCGACUACGCCGUACUACCACUACACCUAUUACACGUACAAUUCUCUUAACAAUCAUCACCCCUAGUUGAAGAAUUCUAACAUCCUACUACCUUAGCCCUUCAUGAACACGUAAUUUACUUCACGAUUAGUAAAAAUCAAUCUACCGAUAACACAAGAAACAAAUGGGUAACAACUAAUAUGAAUGUCCCGGAUCUAGUUACAUUUCGACACCCUACGCGUCGUCUUCCUAAACUUACGACCUUUAUUCUCCCACUCUACCUAUCUAUCUCUUGGAAUACGAAUGACCUUUCCCUUAGGUCUCUAGCGUUGAUAUUCCGUUCUCGAAUAGUUCACACUACAAAGGUCAUUUGUUCUUACUUUAUGUGCCUAGAUGUUUGUCCUAACCUAGUUUCUCUCGUUCCGUCCUAUGUUCUUUAGUAUAAACCGGUCAGAUACGUGGGUAUCCAUGUUCUAGAUGUAACUUCCUAGUUGUACCGGUCAAUCACUCUUCAUAUAGUAUCGAACACUAAUUUGGUUUUAUGACGCUAAAGAAAAGUUCCCACAACUACGGGUGAGUCGUAAUAACCGGUCAAGCUCUACUAUCCAAUAUCGUACAAGUCAAGUAGUAACUCUAUAGGGGAGACCAAUGGAAAAAAGUAACACGAUACACGUAGAUCGACCACCGGUGGUCGAUUUUUCCACUCUCGUCGGUACUUCCUGAACGGUCAGCUUGAUUUCACUCUCGCUGGUAAUUCUUUCGAGCUAAACACCAGCUUCCGACGUUUUUUAAUAAUGUUACUCGUCAGAUCGGUUAAUUAAUGUCAAUCAGGAAAUUCAAUCUAAAUCAUAAUCGACUUAAUGAACGAAGAUAACUGUCACUUUUUCAUGGUAUUAAAAUCAUUUGUAACUUCCAGUUUUCUUUCGUUUAAUAACAUAGUGAUAAAUAACAACGGAAAUAAUGAUGAGAAGAUACAUGGGUCUCUCAAACUUAGGGUCUGUAACGUUAUCUUGAUAACCCACUAAUAUGUUUUCUUCUGUACUGAAGUACAGACUGUCGUGACAACAGUACCACAUCACAAUCAUUGAGUACGUUCCUUCUGGAAAAUAUCACAUAUAAACGGGAACAAAAUCGUCCGUGAGAACCAAGACAUAUAUUAUAGUGGCAAGUGACUAUGAUGAUUAUGACCUCCGUGUACAUGCAAGAGUUAGUUUCUCAAACCGAAAAUCUAAAAUGUACAAGUGAUCUCAUCCCUUGAACGUGCUCAGACACAUUGUUAAAACUUGAGUUUAACUUACCAAGUAGAUGAUUUCGUGAGACAAAAAGAUAAAAUAUCCUCAAACCUUGUGAGGACAUCUUACGGUAGUGCCGUCGAACGGAUAGCCCUCAAAGCACGCAGUAUCCGUUAGAAGGACAGGAACAAGGGGUGACAGAGAUUGCCUUAAGAGGGAGAUCUAGAGUUAAGAAACUCGUGUACCUCUACAGAACUAAUAGUUACGAAAUCAGAUACGG